rnacentral:lncRNA from 1 species
AGCAGCUAUGGCUCGUGAUGAGCCAACCCGGGCACUGGUGGUGGAUGUUGGGUUUGGCCAAAAAUCAAGACAUGAAGACGCACACGCAGAAACAAUCACACAAUUAUUUGGUCAAGAACGUGUAUCGUGUCCUAUAUUUUUUCUUUAUUUUUUUCUCAAAUCACACGACCUUAUUACAAGCCACGGUAUGCAUGUACAUAUAUAAGACCAAUGCCAAGCUACUAGUCCUACUUGCACACGGACAAAAAUCCUAAACUCAGAAGAACACAAGCAACACGUAGGAACUUCAAACCUAGUACUAUUCGGACACUACCAUGUGAACUAACACAUGGUACUCCUGCGUAGACUCAAACUCAAGAUUACUCCUAACAAUCUCCCCC